UGGGGAAUUUUGGACAAUGGGGGAAACCCUGAUCCAGCCAUCACGCGUGUGCGAUGAAGGCCUUCGGGUUGUAAAGCACUUUUGGCAGGAAAGAAACGACAUGGGUUAAUACCCUGCGAAACUGACGGUACCUGCAGAAUAAGCAUCGGCUAACUACGUGCCAGCAGCCGCGGUAAUACGUAGGGUGCAAGCGCUAAUCGGAAUUACCGGGCGUAAAGCGUGCGCAGGCGGUUCGGAAAGAAAGAUGUGAAAUCCCAGAGCUCAACUUUGGAACUGCAUUUUUAACUACCGGGCUAGAGUGUGUCAGAGGGAGGUGGAAUUCCGCGUGUAGCAGUGAAAUGCGUAGAUAUGCGGAGGAACACCGAUGGCGAAGGCAGCCUCCUGGGAUAACACUGACGCUCAUGCACGAAAGCGUGGGGAGCAAACAGG
rnacentral:rRNA from 1 species